GGCGCGCUGAGGCCUCGGCCUCGCGCGGGGCUGGAGGCGGCCUGUGGGCAGCCACCGCCCUCUCCCGGCUUUCUCAGGGCGCCUGGGACACCGGCUUUCUAACAUUUUUACAGCUCAGCGAUUCUCAAGAGUUUUGUUUCUCCAGUGGAAGUAACAGGCUGACUUUGUAGGGACACGCAGCCGUCCAUAUAUGCGUAUAGCAUUCAGAGGUUCUUCCUGUAAGGACCGAUUUGGAAGACUCGUUAAGAAAACAGUGUUCUUUAAGCAAACAUUGGCAAUGGAUUUAAAUGCUCAGAUUUUGAAGAAAUCAACGACUGCAGGUGAAAUGGCUUUGCUAACUUUAAAAUAUAUUAUUAUUCAACAUUGAAACAGGAAAUCCCACAUGAGCACAUGUUAUCAGAUGAUACCGGAAAACAUUAGCGAGGGAAAGAAUCUGAAAGGAGUCCAGUAAAUGCCUAAGGCAGAUAAAUAGAGCUACAAGGUAAGCACUUGGGUGGAGGCUGCUUAAAAUACUCCCUAACAGUGUAUUAGUCAAGCCUUGAAGAAGCAGUUCAGGCUGGUAAAGUUUAGGUUGAGUUAAUACAAAUUAUGAAAAUAUUUGUAUCCUGAAGAAAUUUGUUUUAUGCUGGUAUUGGCGUUUUACCAAAAGGUUCAUUAAGUUCUUAAGAUGAGGUGGGGAGUGAGUUUUGCACAACCAGUGCUGAAAAUACGUAUCUGGCCCAGGCGCGGUGGCUCACGCCUGUAAUCUCAGCACUCUGGGAGGCAAAGGCGGGAGGAUCACUUGAGGCCAGGAGUUCGAGACCAGCCUGGCCAACAUGGUGAAACUCCGUCUCUAUUAAAAAUACAAAAAAAAAAAAAAAAAAAAAAUUAGCCGAACGUGGUGGUGUAAUGGGAUUACAUGCUUGUAAUCCCAGCUACUUGGGAGGCUGAGGCAGGAGAAUCCUUGAACUCGGGAGGCGGAAGUUGCAGUGAGCCAAGGUUGCGCCAUUGCGCUCCAGCCUGGACAACAAGAGCAAAACUCCAUCUCAAAAAAAAAAAAAAAAAUACACACACACACACACACACACACACACACACACACACAUACAUGUAUACACACACAUACGUUUAUACAUACACAAACGUAUAUAUACACAUACGUAUAUAUACAUGUAUACACACACACACGUAUAUAUAUCUGUAAUUGAUUCAUGGAACAGAGAAAAGGUGGCUGUCAUAUGGAGUGGUGGUAACUGGCCAGGCUCUGGGGCUGGGUAGCCUAAGUCCCAGCUCUGCCACCCACAGUGGAAAGUUAUUUAACUUCUUUGUGUUUUAAUUUGCUUAUAUGUCAAAAGGGGAGAACAGUACCUACCUCUUGAGGUUGUUGUGGGAAUUAAUUAAUAUAUGUAAAACACUUUAACAGUGCCCAGUCCCUAGUAAGAGAUGCACAGACACUUAUACUUGUUCUGAGUUGUGGUAGUGGUAUUUAGCAAAAUAAUAGGGCCAGAAAUCAGGAAUUAAGGAGGAGAUCUUAACUGGGCUUCUUUUCCCUCCUGUUUUUGUGGUUUAUAUCCCUGCGGUGCUCCUUGGCAGAUAAAUACGACCUUAAUUUUCUACGUACUACCCCCAGAAUGCUGGAGGCAUCCUCUGUUGUUUUGUGCCCCUUACCAAAUUCUGGCCGUGUCUGCUUCAACUGAGAGCAUAUUAAUAUCAAUAUUUAGGAUGGUGAUUCAUCUACCUGCUGUCUAGGUUUCAAGACACACAAGUUGGACUAGAAUUGUAACUGAGCAGAUAUUCCUAUUUCUGAUUGUCAUCCUAGAAUGCCUGCUGUGACUCUGACAUCAUCAAUUAGCUCAAUACAUGGGCACAGUCGGACCUGCCCCAAAGCCUGUGAUUUGAGAAAACACAAGAAAACCUUCCCCUAGCCUCCAAACCACUUAGGUGUGGGUACCUGAAAUUUCUCAGUUAGAACUUAAUGCCUUUAUCCCUUUGGCUUAAGCCAAAUAAGAAACUUAGUCCUUGUUAAAAUGAAAAUACUCUUGGGAGAUGUAACACAUCAAACUCUGUCAUUCAUUAGACUUCAGGGGGAAUGAAUUUGUUAAAUCCUUUUCUAAAAUGAAGUUUAAUUAGUGAAGACACAGAAAAAUCUAGAAAAUUGGAACCCAGUUGGGAUGGUGUUGAGAAAAGAGAUAAAAAUAAAUCUUUUUUUAACUUUUUAAUAAUAGUCAUUCUGACUGGUGUGAGAUGAUAUCUCAUUGUGGUUUUUAUUUGCAUUUCUCUAAUCAGUGAUAUUGAGCUUUUUUUCAUAUGCUUGUUGGCCACAUAUAUGUUUUCUUUUAAAAAAUGUCUGUUCAUGUCCUUUGUGCACUUUUUAAUGGGGUUGUUUGUGUUUUUUUCUUAUAAAUGUGUUUAAAUUCCUUAUAGAUCCUGGGAUAUUAGACCUUUGUUAGAUGCAUAGUUUGCAAAUAUUUUCUCCCAUUCUGUAGGUUGUCUGUUUACUCUGUACAAUAAACACCGAUG
rnacentral:lncRNA from 1 species